GGGGCUGUAGCUCAGCGGGAGAACGUCUGCUUUUCACACAAAAGACCCAGGUUCAAUUCCCGUCAUCUCUG
rnacentral:tRNA from 1 species